CCACUUCCUGCCCCGCCGCCGCCGGCGAAAGUUGCGGAGAGCGAGGGCUGCGGCGCAGGCACCAGGCCCGCACUUCGUCCGAGCGGUACCCGGACGUUUGGGGAGCUCCUCACCCAGCUGGAGCGACCUCGCCUGAGGAGUGAUGGCCAGGUCGCAGCGCCUGCGCUCCCCGUGUGCCUCUGGACCUCCGUGGAGGUCAGGAGGGAGGGGCGCCCUCGCACGGCCUUUCGGAAAGUACAGACCCGCGAGGGCGCACCAGCUGGGCGCACCGGCUGGGCAGAGGCUUCUCGCCGAUGGGCAUGUCAAGCUGCCUCUGCGGGAUAAUUCAAGGCAAGGAUCACAUGCGCCCAGGUCUCCUCAAAGCCUCCUUCCCGUCCUCCGCCCUAGCCAGAGCCCAAGGACGGCCCUAAGGAGCAUGCAACCGAGAAAAAAUAUGUGUCGUAAGCCGCAGAGGGAAGAAGACCGGCACACGAGGUGCAGGCAGCCCCUGGGGUUGGGCGGGACAACAGUGUUCCAUCCCCGCUGGCGUCGUGUGACAGUGGGAGGAGCGUCAAGAACGUAAAUAUUAUGUUCUGUGACUGAAAUUAUGAGGAUCAGGGUUCAGCUUUCCAGAGCACUGGUUCUUCUUGAUGUGCUGCGGAGCCCUGAGCAAGUCUGAACCCUUCUUUGAGAAUGGUUUCACCAACAGAGUGACCAGGCUGAACCCUGGGUCUGUAUUAGCUGGGCAACCACCCAGUGGCCCAGCCCCCCUCUCCCUUGGCUGGACUGGACAGGGUCAGAACAGGAUGGCCCCCCCUUCUCACUGCAAGUCCAGAGAGGGUCCCUUACACCCAGGGAACCUCCACCAGGUCCUGUCCUGUGAAUGGCCUCUGCAGAAUCAGUCUUGCCUUCCCACCUGAAGAGGAAGCAUGAGGGUCAGGCCAGAGAUCUGGCCCAUGGGAAGGUCAAGAAGAAAUCCACCCCCAACAAGUCAAAUGACAGGUGAGCUGCAGCUGUCCAGUAGGGCAUCUGCCUCUGAGUGAACGGAGGCACCUUUGUGAACAGCUACAGGGAAGCCACCUCCCUCAGGGAGGAGGGUUCAGUUGUCCUCAGCCAAGGCACUGGGCUGCUGGGGAACAGACAGACCCCUCCAACCUGUCCCUGAGAUAUUGCAAAUACUAGAGCCAGGCCAGAGCUUCAGUCUGAUCCAAUAGUCUGGCAGGGGUCCUCUAGGGGGAAAUUCCUGCCUCCCCUUCAACAGUGAGGGGGACCCCCACUCACUCCCUCACACUUGCUCAUGAGGAAUGAACUGUAUAAAUUAUCCAGAGGCCUGGCCCAGUGCCAGGGGAGUAGGGGCUUCUCUCAUAGCCCCUUUCCUAGGCUCCAUGCUAGCACUGCCCCAUUCAGGUCUCCAGGUAGCUCUCUCAGCAAGAAAGGGGCCUCUGUCCUCCUCCCUUGGCUUUCCUGCUUGGGCAGAGAACUAAGGCCACACCAGGUCUGGGACAGAGGCGCACCAUGGACAGUGCAGAUGUUCUUCUGCUGCCCCCUGGUGGUGCUGAGGAUAGAGCCACGCAGGCCACCCAGGGGCUCCCAGGAGAGGCAGUCUUGAGGAGCCAUGAUCUGCAGGUUAAUCUGGAGAAUAGCCAAGUCAGGAGACCAGGCCUCGCUGCUAGGCCAUUCACAAGACCUCCCUGGUUCCCAGUUCCUGACCUGGACAGGAGGUUCUGCUGGGGAUGGACGAGAAUGAAGGAAUGGAAACUACUCCCAGUGUUUGCUCUGGGAGCAAGGAGCUGGUCGAAACUGCAGACUCAAAGCUCGGUAGGUAGGGAAGGCUAACAAGUGAAUACUGUUUCAGAAACCCCACCCCACCUGUUUGCAGGCCUUCCCCGGGGCACAGGGCCUCCAGGGGGCGAGAGUCCUCCCGGACCCCUGCACCUUUGAGAUGGGCUCCCGGGGAGCCACAUACACAGACUACCAGUGAAGUCUCCCAGCCAGGUUGAGCAGAUGAAACCCUGGGGGGAUGCCAGCCCAGUUCCCCAAAUGUGAAGGAGGGCUGCAGGCCACGGGAGAGGUUGCAAGAAGGAGCACACAUAGGAGCAGGUGGCCUGGCUUCCAGAAAGAACCUAGGCUUAGAUCUGACAAUUCAAGAUGACGCCUGCUUAUGGCAAAGAGAGAUGAUGAGAAGGAGAGUUCCACCUAGCGGACCUAAGUGUACCUGGAGCGCACGUCAGCCCUAAACACCAAGGAGACCUGGGGUUUGGUUGGGGAAUCCUGGGCAUUGAACCACAACAGCAACAUUGUCCUGGGUACUGUCACUCUCCCCAACAUCAACCCAUCAGCAAGUCCCAGUGACCACUUUUCCAUCUUGCCUAGUUCCUGACCACUCCUGGCCCCUCCACCGCCAAGGUCUAGACCCCCUCCUUAGGUUCCUCAACAGAAAUCACCUGCUUCCACAUCACAGGGCGUUUGCACCUGCUAUCCCUCUGCCUGGGACUCUUCCCCUGAGAGUAGCCUGGACAGGGUUACAGCUGGCAGAACCAGAAUUGGGACCCAGGUCUGAACAUGAAGCCCAUCCUCUCCAAGACCUCCAGCUGAGAGACUGGCUUUUGUUUUAGCAAUGAUAUGGUUUCAAGGGAGUCAGCACAAGAGAAAUCCAAGUGCAUGCUGGCCAGCUCUGCCCCUGGACUUCUGCAGAGAGUCGUCUAAUCCGAGGGCAGCACGGGGACCAGUUUCUGAGCAGGAAUGCAAUAGAGCCUGUCUUCAUGUAUCACAAGUGAUGGGGCUUCAGCAAGGGCUUGGACACUCUCCGGGCACACCUGCCCAUCCACACUGUGCCUUUCUAUACGGGCUCCUCAGAGAACCAGGCGCUUUUUCAACCCAGGAUUCCCCAACCAAACCCCAGCACUCACUGAAGGGCUCAGUCCUUUUCAUCAAAAGGGCCACAGCUGAGGGAUCCCUCGUCCCACAACCAGAUCCAAGGAGCAAGGGAAGCUUGUCCUUCAGAGGAGCUCUACCAAGAUCAGGGUCUUACCCUCCACUCACGCCCCACCCUCCCCUGCACCAUCCCUCCCAUAUCCUUCCACCUCUUCUCCCACCUCUCUCUACCCAUCCCUCAGCUCAUCCCUCCCUCCAGCCCACUCUCCAUCCCUCUUCCUCCCUCCAUCAAUCCUCCUAUCCCUGAAUUUAUCCAUCCUUCCAUCUACCCCUCCAACCCACAUCCCUCCAUUCAUCCUCCGUCUACAAAAUAUUUACUGAGCCUCAGCGUUGCUGUGUGGAAAGGGAAGUGAGUAUUUUCACUCUUCCCACCAUGACUGGGGGAAGGAAUUUUUCUCGCGUCCAAACCACAUGAACACACACAUUUUGCAAAUUCUGUUUGAAGCUACAUCAUGCAUGGUUACAGCUACAUCAGCUGUCACAAUUUCCCGGGAAAUUAUAGGUGUAGAAAAAGACCAUCUGGCCCACCAUGCCGUCAGUGUGCCUGGCUGGGAUGGUGGGUGUGCGGUUUCUUACAUUUCAUUUGAAAAUGCAAAAUAUAGACUUUUUACUGCUAGUCACAUCACCUUUCAAAAUUAAGUCAAAUGCCACCAUCCAUGCCUUGUACCCUCAACUAUGGCCUCUGAGGUCUUUGCUGCCAUGUACCAGUGCUUGGGACUACCUGAGGCUUUCCUUGCUUCUAAGAGGGCCUGGUCCUUGACCCAGGCUGUAGGGAAGGGAGGACAGGUCUCCAGGGUGACACUCACUGGGUCGGCAUGAGGUCCAGUGGCAAGGAGCAGAGACACUGCAAUUUCUACAGGAGCCCUCUGGUCACAGCACCUAACAAGUGGCAGGUAAAGAGGGAGGAGGGCCAAGCCCGGGUCAGCUGCCGCUGAGCAUGUCAGGCAGCUCAGCUGAGCCUACUCUGACUGAUGGAAGUGCUGGCUUGAUUGUCAGAGAGGCAGCACUGAUGGGAACACAGGCAGGGAGAGCCUGGCCCUGAGCCUCACCCUGGUGUCCUGUGUCCAGGGCCACCCUCCAACCCAGUAAGGAGGUGCCCAGUCCUGGGCCCUUCUAGGUCUCCUCUAACCAUUGCCACCUCUAGGGCAGUAAGUUGGCAAACCAAAGAGAUGUGCCAACCUCACCUGAUGGACCACCUCCGUGAUGGACCACAGCGCUGCAACAUUUUUGUCACCCAAUACCCCUGAACCACCACCCAGCCCCACCACCCCCGCCCUGGCAACCACUAAUCUGUUCUCCACUCCCCAUGCCAUGCCCAUCCAGGGCACUUCGCAUCAAUGAAGUCACCAUGUGUGGCCGGUGGGUGGCUCUUCACCCAACACAAUGCCAUGCUUCACUCAGGCUGUAGCAAAUACCAGUAGGAACGUCCUUAAUUCAUCCUAAGUGCAAUCAACUCUGAUAAUACAUAUUUUUAAUCCAAUAGUCAACUAUUUUCAUUUUAAUGUG
rnacentral:lncRNA from 1 species